CUUUGACAGAGUCAUCGACCUCGCGCGCAUGGCGGACUCCGUUUAACCACCGCGCGAGAAGCUUGGCACGAACGCCUAGGCCCGGUCUCCUUGCCCCGCGUAUAAAUUGGGGUUGUUGCCAACCUCUGUGGCCUCUUCCUCAUCCAGUUGAGAGUCGAAAUACUUCACCGCAGAGAGCUGACCGUGUGUAGAGUGGGCAGAAAGAUCACCGCCGUCGGCGCCACCUCUACACGUUGAGGGCCGGGCGUCGGUGGGUGCCAGGACCACCACCGGGGCAGUCCGCACGUGGUCGAGACCCUUCUGGGCGAGCUGGGCAGCCGGAGUUGUCCGAAUUUCUCGUCGACGCUGUGCAACGCCACCUCCCGCCCCUCGUCGCUAUUAUGGCCCCUACUGCGCGAUUGUCAUGAGGUUACGAGGAUCUGAA
rnacentral:lncRNA from 7 species